GGCACCUUCUAAGGCUAGUCAGUUUUAGGUGACUGUGUAUGCCAACGUGACUCCCCCGUCACAAAACAGUCCUCAAGACAGAUGGGCUGCCAGCGUGCUGGGGUCUUCAUAGGGCAGAUCUCCACCAUGUCAUGCAGAGAUGCAGUGCUGUCUUCUGAUCAGGAAUUAUGCUCUUCCACGGCACUCUGGCUCAUUCCACAGUCAAUAAUGUUAAAUGGAGUGAAAAUGUAGGUCAGUGGAGCUAACUUGGAAGUCUCCAGGACAACUCUUCCUCCAAAUCCAUUGGAAAACAUGAAGCAACAGGCAGAAAUGCCAAGGAUUUGACUGCUAAAUACCAGAUAAGUAAGCUGCUCCCCCAAAAAGUCUUCAGCAUACUAAGCAAGUCGUUUACUGGAAGAAAUUUAAACCUUUUUUAAAGC
rnacentral:lncRNA from 10 species